GCCCUCGUAGUUCAAUGGAUAGAACGUUGGCUUCCGGAGCCAAAGGUUCCAGGUUCGAGUCCUGGCGGGGGCA
rnacentral:tRNA from 1 species